rnacentral:rRNA from 1 species
UACGUAGGGUGCAAGCGUUGUCCGGAAUUAUUGGGCGUAAAGAGCUCGUAGGCGGUUCGUCGCGUCGGCUGUGAAAUCCCGAGGCUCAACCUCGGGUCUGCAGUCGAUACGGGCGGACUGGAGUACUGCAGGGGAGACUGGAAUUCCUGGUGUAGCGGUGAAAUGCGCAGAGAUCAGGAGGAACACCGGUGGCGAAGGCGGGUCUCUGGGCAGUUACUGACGCUGAGGAGCGAAAGCGUGGGGAGCGAACAGG